AGCCGGUGACAUCCGACAUGUCGUCCUUUUUGGCGUCCUUUCCGAAGGGCCCCAUGCUGCAUCCCCCGGACGAGCAGCCGACGGCCACCAGCACAGCAGCCGUGACAAGCCCGAUCGGCGAUAGGCCGCGGCCCUCGCGUACCCUAUAUAAGGAACGCUCGAGAACACGCUUGGCACGAAGAGGCGCCAGGGUACGCAACCGGAUACUCCAGACAUGAACGGUCCACACUCCAUCAAAACCCCAGCCGAGUUAAUUUCCGGUGAUUUC
rnacentral:misc_RNA from 1 species